rnacentral:snRNA from 10 species
CUGCUUCAGCAGCACAUAUAGUAAAAUGAGAAUGAUGCCAAGAAUAUUAGCAUGGCCCCUGUGCAAGGAUUUUUUUGUUCGUUUUUUGAGACAGAGUUUC